AAGGAUUUAGGAUAGCUAAGACCAAGGGCCUUCAAAGCCCCAAGCGGAGGUGAAAAUCCUCCAAUCCUUG
rnacentral:tRNA from 1 species